UAUAAAACGGCAAAGAAAUUCGUGGAAACAGCAGUGAACAUAACGUAGAUAUAAAACAGCAGAGAACUUCUACAGCAGAUUCUGAAACAUGAAGUUCAUCCAUGUGUUGAUGUGCACAUUGGCAAAAAACAAAUUUCUGAACUGCGCAAGUGCUCCCAUGAUAUAAUGUUAGUAUUUAGAUAAAUAAUGUGCACCGGCUUCACUUUGGUGGCUUAAAAUCUUUGUCCACACAAUCCUAAUAGUAAGCAAGAAAUAGCGUCAAAGCUUCUUUCCUGUGAACUGCCUUUCAAAAUACUCGAGAAAAUGCCUCAAUGCAAAAAUAUUUGGAAGCUUGAGAAGUUCAGAAAUGCGGCAUCAUAUAGUUCGCAUUCUGCAAAUAUCUCUAUAGGAAUUUUGACACUAUGCUAAAUAUUGUACAUAGACCUACAAUCUUAUUGAUACAUUUGUCUAUAUCAUCGUUCUUAAAUCUCAAUUAGCACCAUUUAUACAAGAGUAGCAAUGUGCAUAUACUCUGCAAGACUGCAACAGCGCCAACAAGAUCACGGGUACUAUGGGCGCGCCAAAGGCGCGCCAGAUUUCUAGUUUUGAUUAGAGCUAAAGAUCCCAUCCUAAGGCCCAUGCAAAUCGUGGGGCAAAAGGCCGGCCCAAGAGACCAAACUGGACCCCUGACCUGGCUGGAGUAGAUAGACACCUACUUGUGGGCUACGAAACGCAUCGUCGACAAUGGGCUCGCCUCCGCUUUGUGGUGAGGCCCAACUCUGCGUCCUCCACCCCCACCUCGGACAGAGAAGCGAGAAAGCGUCUCCGCCGCCGCGGCGGUCGUACAAGCCAGCGGAGACGCGUGGGACGGAAGGAUUAGCGCUCGUGACGACGGCGCCCCCGAUUCUGCCACCGCCAGGGCCGCCUCUGCGCCGCCUCCACCCGGCAGGCGAUUAGGACCUCCUCUCUGCCCAACGCUUGCGCCGUAAGGAUUUGUAUGACACAGUUAUGAAGUCAUUGUGAAGGGUGGACUGUAAAUUACGUAUGAUAUUAGCAUCAGUGGAUCGCCUCUCUCCUCGGUUUCCCUGUUAGGAACCAAACUAUCCCAUGGAGUUACUGCAAAAAUACCCCAAUGCUGUAUGCCUGAAGAGAAAGCUUGUCGAUAGUUACCUGACAAAAGAUUCCAAGUCCCGUCGUGUUGAAGUGGAUAAUGUAUCUUUUAAGGUGGGGAGCGGGUCGUCAUCUGACCCACAUGCUCACAGAUGCCGCAAUCAACCUAACCUUGCAAAUGACUGCGUUAAUUACCUAAACAGUACAGUACUUACUCGUGUUGUGUUUUACAAGGAAGGUCCAUGGUGCAGUUUCCCAGAGAAGGUAGUUCCAUCUCUUGUUGAUGCAUUCAAAGGUGACAAAUCUAGUGUUGUGGUUAUGAUGGACGAUCAGCCGCUUCUGCUCGAUUUCUUAUCAGUCCAUCUCUAUGGUACAAGUCUCCUGUAAAAAUAGCUACUGCUACUGUAAAUACAGCAUCAGACUCUAUCUGCAUCAAAGCUAUAAGCAGGAAUGUUUCAUCUGCAACUCUUGGUCAUGAUUCUCUAGCACCAAGCUUAGUGCCUGUGAAAUGUGAAAGCAUCGAUCCCAAAAUUGGAGGUUCUGCAAUAGUAAGUGUGGCAGUUGAAUACCAGGAUUUUCCCAGCCCAAGUCUGCCUCUUCAAAACUCUUCAGCACAUUGCCCUGAGAGCUGUGACCCUUUUGUGCCAAUAAUGGUACCCACAGUUCAAACUUCCGUUCCGAGAGAAGUUACUGAAAACUUCUCCCUCAGGAUUAAUAACUGCAAUACUGGACCUAGUAUGGAAACUAAUGGUCAUGCUCCCAUCACACAAACUUCCGUUUCUGAAAGGCACAACUCUGGUGUAUCGAGAUCUACAGUUCAGAAUUCUGAAUCUCUCAAUAUGAAAUCCCUACAUUCUGUAGUGCCAAGCACAGUACCGAGAAUCUCGAAGCCCCUUCCAACUGCUAUAGCACAUGAAAACUCAUCUUAUCCAGAUGCUACAGGCAGUGAUGCUAAAACAUCAGCUGUAUCACCUCAAUUCCAGUCAGCAAGUAUGCCCCAUCAGUCAUAUGCAGGAAGUUCGGCACCUCAUCCCCAUGUACGAAGUAUGGUGUCUCAACUUCGUGUACCAAGUACAAGUAAGAUGCCUCAAGUCCAAGUACAAGGUACAAUGCUUCAAAAUUUCAAAAACAUUGUCAAGCUCAGUAUUCUGGUGCAAAAAAUAUGAUUCCUAUAAGCUCCAUACCUCUGCUGCCAACCGGAACACCAAAAAGCAUUGCUACUCCCAAAUCAACUGGGGAACUGAAGUUUCAUCAGUCUCAAGGAUUAAAUGUGAGGGAAAGAAACAUCGAUUGUGCAGGACUAAGGGCAGCUCUGAAAGACUCCGAUAAUACUGCAAUUUCGACAACUGAAGGGCAAAAAGAUUCCAUCUUGAAUAUGCUGCCUGAUCUUUUUACAUGAGUUCUGUAGGUUGCAUUUAUCUUGGCGUUCUAAACUUCUUUACUUGUUCUUCAGUUAACAUGAUGCCACGUUACUCAGCUGCCGGGUGUGGAGCAAACGAGAAAGUGCCCAUUCAAGGUGUUGAUGCUGGCGUCACUGUCACUGUAGCAGCAGAUGCACUUGUUGCGCUAUCAGAGAAGGGCAGGUAGAAGGAAUUCAGGCGAUUACGUCAGGUCUUUUUUGCUCCUACGAACCCAUGGAAGAAACCAGCUAAGUUUCUCUCACCGGACAAAUUUCACCUCACCCUGUUAUCCUGGAUGGUAAAUCAAUGGUGGUCAAAUCAAAUGGACGUUUCCCAUAUAUGCGUAGCUGGUUCUGAUGGCGGUUGUACAGUUGGUUAUGAUGUCUUGUACAGUGGGAUUUUCAUAUACUUCUACGUAAGUCUGCAACUUUCUGAAGGUUCAGAUCUGGGGCUUCAGCUUCGGCCUCAUGUCCAGCUACUUUAUGGCAUACACAUGAAUCAUGAAACUCGAAAUCAUUAGAAGUGAAACACCCAAAUCACAAUUUUGCACAAUUCUUGGCUCGAUCUUUUCUGUGGAAGUAUGUGCUGGAAUUGGGUCAUAAAGUGAUUACAUAUCCAGCUAGGUGCUGGAACUCGGUCAUAAACUCGUAAUUUAUUCAGCUAGUGACUGCAUCUAGUUUCUGAUGUACCUGUCUACCUGAAGUACACUUACUUGCCAAUGGGUGCUUUCACAGCACCCUUAAGCUAGAAGAUUUAUCCUGGCCAGAUGAGGAGGGAGAACCAGAUUCUGUUCCACCCCCCACAUCGGUUACAUCCAUAGACCACGAUGUGGUUCAUAGAUUGUUUCUCCGUGUGCAUGUGCUACCAGGUUUUGGACAGUUCGAAGUUGAAGCCAUCUCAAAAGGACAGUGAGUGCUCGAUUACGCACGGCGCAGCAUGAAGCACAUCCCUCCAAUGUGGCUGUCCAUUCGCCGGAGACCAAAAAUCAAGUCCACUGCAAGUGCAGCUUCAAGGAGUGAUUAAGGGAUAGAUCCCAGUAUCUGCAAGGAAGGAAGAAGAUGGCGGAAGGAAGAAGACGGA